UCUCUCUCAAUUUCUUCGUAAUCUCUUUCAUUUGUUCUUAAGCAUGUCGAAAUCCACUUUCUCUUCAAAGAACUCAUAGCUCCGGAAAUCAAAUCUUUCAAUUAUUUUGAGUUUAAUACUUCAACCUUGCCUGAGUUGCCCUCUCUUUAUACUCAAGUAUGCAAAGUAAGUGAAAUUGGUGAGUCAACUACUCCACAAUCGAAGUUUUACUCCCGUACAACCCCGUGUUGAGAAGCUGUCAAAGUAUAAUAUCUCAGGUCAUUCGAGAUUUCGAAGAAAUCCUAAAAAGUGAACAACAAUUGUAUUUUGAAUUUGUACACAAAGUACUCUGAUUUUUUCAGCAGACUUGUUUCUCAUGGAGUUGUUAGACAAAAAUGAAUCCAUGAAUUUUCCUGGGAAUAUACUGGAGUAUAUCCACUAGGUUAUGACAGCCAAAGAUAGUUGUCAUGUUAUUGCCUAUGGAUAUUUGUUAAACCUAGUCUUCAAACAUUUCAAUAUGCCCCUUGACAAAGGAGUUGCUGGAAUAAUAAAAUAGGCACUCUCCAUGUCUACCUUGAGUGAGGGUAAAUUCAUUGGGGAAAGGUGAAGUCUAAGUCUCAAGUCUCCGAGCUUCUUCAACAACAAGAGUAUUACUCUAAGUCUCAAGUCUCCGAGCUUCUUCAACAACAAGAAGUGUUAAAUACGGAAAUGAAAGAUCUUAUUACCCAAUUGUCUGAAAAAGAAUAGGAGAUUAUGAGGCUUGAAGGAACAAUCUCAGGGACCAGGUCCAAGUACAUGUGGGCAGGAUAAUGUUAAAACACUGAAGGCUCACAUUAUUAAGUUGGUUGAAUCAAAUGCCAAAUUAAAUGAUGAGGGAAAAGAGAAGGUCUCAGCAUUUCAACAGCAACUGUAUUAUUUGGAGCAUUAUCUAAGAUCAUGAUUUUCCUCCCUUGAGUAAAAUGAAGACGAAUGACGGAUGCAGUCAUGCGACAUUCACUUGAAACUGCUUGUCUUAUGCUUGUACGGAUAGUGGUGAGAGCCGUAGAGCACGUGCUGUCAUAGAAUGUGGAAGAAAGUUGUGCAUGACAUUGCAUGCUAGAGAGUAAGAGAAGAGAAAAUAUAGCAACAAAAGAAUUGUUUAAAGUAGUCAUCAUUUGGAAAGUGUGUAUAAUGUAUGAUACCAAAAAGUAACAAUAUAUGUUAAAGGUGAUAGAAGAAGAAAUGUGCUACUCAAAUAUUUAUAGGCAAAUCGAAGUGUUUUUUUGGUCACUAUUGGCUGCCAAUUGCAAAAUUAAUAUUCCGCGUUA